rnacentral:rRNA from 1 species
UACGUAGGGAGCAAGCGUUGUCCGGAAUCAUUGGGCGUAAAGCGCGCGUAGGUGGCCUCGUAAGUCCGCUGUAAAAGUCAAAGGCUCAACCUUUGAAAGCCGGUGGAUACUGCGGGGCUAGAGUACGGAAGAGGCGAGUGGAAUUCCUGGUGUAGCGGUGGAAUGCGCAGAUAUCAGGAGGAACACCUAAGGCGAAGGCAGCUCGCUGGAACGGUACUGACGCUGAGGCGCGAAAGCGUGGGGAGCAAACAGG